rnacentral:rRNA from 1 species
UACGGGGGGAGCAAGCGUUGUUCGGAAUUACUGGGCGUAAAGGGCUCGUAGGCGGCCAACUAAGUCACACGUGAAAUCCCCAGGCUUAACCUGGGAACUGCGUGUGAUACUGGAUGGCUUGAAUUCGGGAGAGGGAUGCAGAAUUCCAGGUGUAGCGGUGAAAUGCGUAGAUAUCUGGAGGAAUACCGGUGGCGAAGGCGGCAUCCUGGACCGACAUUGACGCUGAGGAGCGAAAGCUAGGGGAGCAAACGGG